UGCUCCGGCGUCACCAGCUAGCUAAAUCCUCGCAACGGUUCUGGGCGAUAGGGGCCGUUUUUGUCCCCCUUCUUCAGCAGAUGAGGGAAUUUGUUUCAAAAAGUUGUUACCUGCUCACGGAAACAGACGUCCUAAGCUAUUAACACAAUCUCCAGCUGUGUUCUAACCAAGACAGGAACCGAAGGGAACAGUAAAAAAUCAUUUUCGGUGCUGCGCUGGGUCUUUUUCUUUGGAAUUUUAAGAAGUUCUGUGAGCUAAAGACCAAUGACUUCCUACAAAUCUUGAAGGACUCCAGGACUCAUCACCAUAGCAGACCAGGCAUCCUUUUUAAGAUGCUUGAUGUCCAGGACUUUGAAACAGCUGAUUUCUUUUUAACCACCUCUCAAUAGGAUUCAUGGAAAAAACUCUGACAAGCACAGAUUUCUGAAAACUUUAAGGUCAUACCACUGGACUCCUAUGGAGUUCCUAACCUUACUGGGGAGAAAGAUCACUUUCUGGCAGGCCCAGGAACUUCAGAAUAUUUGGGGAACCUUGAGAAGAGACAUCUGUUGAGAAAUAUUACUGAACACUUGUUCUGAAGGCUGAUCCUAGACAGCAAGACUCAGAGAAUUGAGAGAAGACAAAAACAUUCAUCUAAUCGGGGCGGCUGGGUGGGGUGAAGUGAACCCAGCCUGAUUACCCUUAGCAUCUAACUCCACAGAAACUCUGCUCUCUAUUUUCUCAAUCUUCUCCAAUUCUUUAUGAAGGGGUUCAGGAAAUGCCGCCCCAAAAUAUGGUGCUUUGGUGUAAUACUUUGAGCUGAAGACACUUGAAAACAGUAUAUGCAGGGAGACGCUUUCUCUGAACUCCCCUUAUCUGUCUAAAGAUAGAUACCGCAAAGGAACUCAAUUUGUCAUCAAUUUUCCAUCAGUGAAACUCUUCCAGGAGUUUCAUCCACCAGUGAAGCUUAUCUCAAUCACAAGAGAAGAGACUAGAAGCCCACACCACACUUAGACAAAUGUCACAAACGAUCAUCUGUUCUUCUAAGGGCCAUUCAUCUUUUCCCAAAAUCAUUUACUCUGCCUGAAAUUGGCUACAUCCCUGGCUUCCUUCUCGCCUAUGUAGAGGGUAUAUAAGCUCCUAAAUCUCCCGGUUUUUCAGGUACUUUUCUUCCUGUGAUGCCACCACACAUGUAAUCAAUUUAUAUACCUGGUAAAGAAGAUAAAAUUUGGGAACUUAAAACUUGGCAAAGAAGGAAAUCCUUUUGG
rnacentral:lncRNA from 1 species